UACGAAGGGGGCUAGCGUUGCUCGGAAUCACUGGGCGUAAAGGGUGCGUAGGCGGGUCUUUAAGUCAGGGGUGAAAUCCUGGAGCUCAACUCCAGAACUGCCUUUGAUACUGAGGAUCUUGAGUUCGGGAGAGGUGAGUGGAACUGCGGAGUGUAGAGGUGAAAUUCGUAGAUAUUCGCAAGAACACCAGUGGCGAAGGCGGCUCACUGGCCCGGUACUGACGCUGAGGUGCGAAAGCGUGGGGAGCAAACAGG
rnacentral:rRNA from 1 species